AUGCUGCUUUUGCUGUGCUCCCUGUCCUUAUUUCCUAAGGGAAUGCAGAUACGGGCAGGUUCAGUGGGUGUCCAGAGCAGCAGGCAGCACAGCCAGGACGAGCACGCGGCAGGAGCAGCGAGGGAGGUGGCGUGUGGCAUGCAGGGCAAGGAGCCCGAAAGCAAGAGCUGCUCAGCAGGGCAGCGAAGUUGUUUUGCAAGACAGGUGGCUGUGGGGUCUCUUUGGUCAGCAGGAUUGGAAGAGAGCCAUCGUCUGCUUCCUCGAUGGUCUGCCAGCCCCUGUGUUUGGGAAGGCAAAUCUGAAAGGAAGCUGUUGAGCACUCUUCUGUGUGAGUUCCUCAGACGAUGGUUGUGUUUCUCCCCCUCGUUCCACCCGUUUUCAAAUAAUUUUCAUGCUGGGAAUAAAUCUGAGCGCAUAACAAUAAUGUUCAGCAUAUGAUAACCAAGACAAUUGUAUAUAUACAAGCAGCCACAUGGAAAACAAAUGAGCUGAUGGAAAAAAGUGCAAGAUGAACCAGAGACACAGUUACCAUUUUCACAGUAAGACCAAAUAACUUUGCCAUUUCCAUGUAACUACCCUUUCUUUUUCCCCCCCCAGGAAAAUAGGAUUUUGAAAUACAUUUUUAGUUACUAAUUUAUUUAUUUUUCUCAACAAUUUAUGUGAUGGUGGGAAAAACCUCUCUCCCAUCAGCCAGUAUGCUAUGGGCCAACUACACCUAAGGAACACAAAGCUGAAUUCUUCCCUGAAUUUCAUCUAUGAAAUUCUGCUGAAUUCAGUGGCGUUUUGUAGCUGGAGCUCAGGAUUUUGACACUAGUGUAUGAGUUAAAGAACAGAGAGGUCUAAACUAUUUGUAUAUUUUUAAAUGCCAAAUACACCGGGCUGCUGCUGCUAUCUUGAAAAUGUGCUGUCUCUAAUGAUACAGGAAAGGACGUUUGGCAGGUUCUUGAUUUUUUAAAAAAAAAUCUUUUCAGUGUGUUUGUCUUUCUUUUUAUGAUUGAAGCCAUUUUUCUUUGAAAGGCAUCUACUUUUAGUCAGGGAAAAGAACAAAGUGGAGACAUUUGGGGAGAAUUUUAACAAACACCUUUAUCUUAGGAUGAGAAGUUGUAAUAAUAAAUUAAAAAAAUGUUAAUCGACUUCAGUGGAAUCUGUGUUGGGCAUACAAUACAUACCCCUGGUCUCAAUAGAAAAUGCCUUUUAAACCCAAAGUGGCUUAACAAUCCUGAAAGAAAAUUGAAAUAGUUGCAAAUUGGGGGCGAAAGUACACCAAGAAUCAUCUUAAAGGAAAGUGAAUAUACAUACCUGGGUCUUUACAAGGAUUUGUGCAUACCCAAACAGUACCCUUUUAGAAAGGCUUUCCCUGUUAUUUCCUCAUUGUAAUGUUCCUACACUCCUGUGCAAAACAGGAAUUAAAUAUGUUAACAAAGCAGAUGUUCAACAACUGUGAAGCAAUGAGAAUGCUUCAGGAGUACUCGGCAGAAAUUGCUACCCUUUAUUAUUAUUUUUUCCCCCAAAUAAACUGUUCCUUCCACAUCAUCGGGGUACAUUUACACGCCUGGUGGUAGCAACGAAAGUUACAUUGUCAUAGUCUUCAACUCUAUGUGUUGAGGGGAAAUGCAGGCUUUUCAGUAAUGUAAAUAUACACGUGGAAGUCCCAGCUGUACAUUGCAACACUCCCCUUCCUCUCCUUCAUUGCUUCAGCAUCCUUCUUUACUCUUCCCCACUGGCCCUGCGUGUAGUACCUCUGUGGCACAGCGGAAGGAUUUAGCCUCAUCUGUUUCGGUUCGUGCUCUAGUGCCUUAGCCCAAAUCCGUCCUCAUGGCUGGGCACUGCUCGGGAGGGACCUGGAGCUUUGAUCCUUCAUAAAGUCUUCCACCCUGCCCCAGUAGCUUGGGCACUGCUAGCAGUUUGGCCUGUGCCAGCACGGAUAUCCAUGAAGGGGAUUUACCCAGUUAUAGCCGUGGGAUUUGUGGUCCAUCUCUGUCUUCAGGACUCGAGGCAGCAACUUCCAAGGUAGCUCGGUGUGUCUGCAGGAGCUGCUGUCAUGCCUUGAUUACAGUGUAGCUGCAGACGAAGUGCAGUUAUUGAAAAUAUUCUUCCUUCUUGAUAGUUUAAUUGGUAGCAUUUAGUUAAUUGUGUGUAUUCUCUCGUAGCAGAAUUAAAUCUAGAAUUAU
rnacentral:lncRNA from 1 species